CAGGGGGGAAUAUUGCGCAAUGGGCGAAAGCCUGACGCAGCGACGCCGCGUGGGGGAUGACGGCCUUCGGGUUGUAAACCUCUUUCAGCAGGGAAGAAGCGAAAGUGACGGUACCUGCAGAAGAAGCACCGGCCAACUACGUGCCAGCAGCCGCGGUAAUACGUAGGGUGCAAGCGUUGUCCGGAAUUAUUGGGCGUAAAGAGCUCGUAGGCGGUUUGUCGCGUCGGCUGUGAAAACCCGAGGCUCAACCUCGGGCCUGCAGUCGAUACGGGCAGACUAGAGUUCGGCAGGGGAGACUGGAAUUCCUGGUGUAGCGGUGAAAUGCGCAGAUAUCAGGAGGAACACCGGUGGCGAAGGCGGGUCUCUGGGC
rnacentral:rRNA from 1 species